rnacentral:tRNA from 1 species
AGAGGGUAGGGAGCAAUGGUGCUCAAGCGGUCUUGAAAACCGUCCCGUUGAGGAUGACUCGAUGAUGGUUCGAUUCCAUUAUCCUCUGCCA